rnacentral:rRNA from 1 species
AGUGAACGCUGGCGGUAGGCCUAACACAUGCAAGUCGAACGGCAGCACAGUAAGAGCUUGCUCUUACGGGUGGCGAGUGGCGGACGGGUGAGGAAUACAUCGGAAUCUACUUUUUCGUGGGGGAUAACGUAGGGAAACUUACGCUAAUACCGCAUACGACCUACGGGUGAAAGCAGGGGAUCUUCGGACCUUGCGCGAUUGAAUGAGCCGAUGUCGGAUUAGCUAGUUGGCGGGGUAAAGGCCCACCAAGGCGACGAUCCGUAGCUGGUCUGAGAGGAUGAUCAGCCACACUGGAACUGAGACACGGUCCAGACUCCUACGGGAGGCAGCAGUGGGGAAUAUUGGACAAUGGGGGCAAGCCCGAUCCAGCCAUACCGCGUGGGUGAAGAAGGCCUUCGGGUUGUAAAGCCCUUUUGUUGGGAAAGAAAAGCAGCAGGUUAAUACCCCGCUGUUCUGACGGUACCCAAAGAAUAAGCACCGGCUAACUUCGUG